UACGGAGGAUCCAAGCGUUAUCCGGAAUCAUUGGGUUUAAAGGGCUCGUAGGCGGUUUGGUAAGUCAGUGGUGAAAGCCCAUCGCUCAACGGUGGAACGGCCAUUGAUACUGCCAGACUUGAAUUAUUAGGAAGUAACUAGAAUAUGUAGUGUAGCGGUGAAAUGCUUAGAGAUUACAUGGAAUACCAAUUGCGAAGGCAGGUUACUACUAAUGGAUUGACGCUGAUGGACGAAAGCGUGGGUAGCGAACAGG
rnacentral:rRNA from 1 species